rnacentral:misc_RNA from 1 species
CUAUUGGCGARAAUUUUGUUCCAAUUUUAUAAAUUCAAAUU